rnacentral:siRNA from 1 species
UGUAGGGUGACGCAACAGUAC